rnacentral:rRNA from 1 species
UACGAGUGCUCCAAGCGUUAUCCGGAAUCAUUGGGCGUAAAGGGUGUGUAGGUGGCUUACCAAGUCGAUUGUGAAAGCCCUCGGCUCAACCGGGGAAGUGCAGUCGAAACUGGUAGGCUCGAGAACGGUAGAGGAAGGUGGAAUUCCUAGUGUAGAGGUGAAAUUCGUAGAUAUUAGGAGGAAUACCUGUGGCGAAGGCGGCCUUCUGGGCCGUUUCUGACACUGAGACGCGAAAGCGUGGGUAGCAAACAGG